rnacentral:rRNA from 1 species
GUAGUUAGCCGGGGCUUCCUCCUUGGCUACCGUCAUUUUUUCGUCACCAAGGACAGAGGUUUACAACCCGAAGGCCUUCUUCCCUCACGCGGCGUUGCUGGGUCAGGCUUUCGCCCAUUGCCCAAUAUUCCCCACUGCUGCCUCCCGUAGGAGUCUGGACCGUGUCUCAGUUCCAGUGUGGCCGAUCAGCCUCUCAGCUCGGCUACCCAUCGUCGACUUGGUGGGCCGUUACCCCGCCAACUAUCUAAUGGGACGCGAGCCCUCCCUCUGCGGAUUACUCCUUUGACCUCUCUCCGAUGCCGGAAUGUGGUCUUAUGCGGUAUUAGCAUCUGUUUCCAAAUGUUAUCCCCCUCAAACGGGUCAGGUUGCUCACGCGUACUC